rnacentral:lncRNA from 1 species
CUCUGAGUCCCCACACAUCAUACGGCUCUUCCCCUGCACGGCUCCCUGAGGCUCUGGGGCCUGGGACUCAUCCUCCCAGAGCACACCUGCCCCCCUCAACAGGGUCCCUGCAGAGUGUCCCCUGGUCUCCCCGUUUACCUCUAAAUGUAUCCCAUCAGGUCUCUGUCCUUAGGACAUCACUCAUUUUAGAAACAAGUCCAUUUAAAAUUGUGUUUCCUUUGUAUCUUUGAAGCCCACCCUGGAUUCUCAGCACCUGCUUCCCUUCCAUCUCCUUUCCCCUUCUCCACCCCCCCCAUUAUAUUUUUUAUUGAAGGCCGAGCUGAGCCAUUGCAGGAUCAUGGGCCCAUUACGCCCCUAACAAUUCCAUUUGCACUGUAUUGUUUGUCUCAUUGCUUGGAAAUUCAGGUGAUUCAUCAUGCCUGAAGAAGCACCUGAUCCCAGCUGCCCCAGGAGCCUGGUCACUAUGUGACAGGAAUGCCAUAGGCGCUGAGGCGGGGGGCGCGGGGGCACGCGGCUUCUCAAGUGUUGAUGAGUUCCAUUCUGUGACGCUGCCCCCGCUCUGUCCACAGCCCCCUGAGCCCAGGAGAUGGGAAGGAGCUGCUGGUGAGCGUCGCGCGUCUCCUGGAGGUGCCGAUGAGCGUCUUCGCAGACAUCACUGUUCUGGGCCCAGCGGUGACCUUCAGGGUGAGCGCCAGCAUCUGGAACCUGACGACAGCAGACGUGGUGCAGGCCACAGCCUCAAUUCUAGUGCCCAGGGACCUUUCCUGGAUCAGAGGCUGAAUUUCCAUCACCUGAUGAGCUCAUCUGAUGUGACAGCCUUGGAUGCAGACGGGGAGUCUCCUGUCAAUAGCUUUUCGUCAGAGACAAAGAGAGGCAAAUGUCUAUAUUCAUUUUCUCUCCUCAUGCAUGAGUAACACCAGCUCUUUCCUCUUCCUCUGUCUCUACCUGGUCGUCAUUGCAAAUUUAAACUUCAGCUUUUGUGUUUCAAGCUGGCUGUGCCUGCAAAGCUGUUUAUGGACGCCUGGCAGGCUUGUCUAUCUGUUUAAGUUCAGAGUGUUUUGACAUGUAAAUUUACAUGAGGCAUAUUUAAUCAGUCACAAUGAUAUGCUAAUUGGAUUCAUCUGUGAACUGAAUAAAAAGCACAUUUGAAGAAAAAUGAAGUGCCUUAUUACCAGCUGAGGCACUUUGUAAUCAGUGCUGUGAAUCAUCAAAAUGUGAAGAUAAAGGUGCCAGGUAUUUGCUGGGGGGAACAUGCUGGCCCUACUUCAGGUGAGCUUUUCUGGUGGCCCUGGCACAUGGACAGGGUUCCAUGUGUGCAUAGUGACCACAACAGGCGUGUCAUAGGUCUUUUCAGUGCUGGCCCUCAAGAUCACUCUGAAUAACUGCACACCAGAACGACUGGUAAAUCCGUUGAGUGUGCAAGCAUGUACAAGCAUGUGGGUAAGUCUGUAAGUGAAUGUGAACAUAUGUCUGAGUGUGAGCAUGCUUGUGUGCAAGAGUGUGAGUGCAUACAAAUGUGUGUGUACAUAAGCAUUUGUAGGUUUGUGAAUGUGUCUGCAACUGUGUGCACAUGUGUGUGCAGAGGCAUGUGUAUGUGGGCACAUUUGAGUGUACAAGCAUGUGCGAGAGCACGUGAGCCUGCUGUGAGUGUACACGUGCGGGCAAGUGUGUGUGGCCAUGCAAGCAUGUGAGAGUGCUGGCGUGUGAGUGUGGUGUGAAUGUGUUUGAGUGUAUGUAGGUGUGUGUAUAGGUUUGUGGAGGCAUAUGUGUGCAAGCAUGUUUGUUCACUGUGUGGGUGUGAGCAUGUGUAAGCACAUGAGCUCCCAUGAGCUUGUACAUGAACACUUGUAGGUGUGUGUGUGAGCAUGUGUGAGGAUGUUUAUACACUGUGAGUGAGCAUGUGUAAGUACAUGAGCUCUUGUGAACUUGACAUGAACACUCGUAGGUGUGUGGGUGAGCAUGUGAGUGUGCGAGGAUGUCUAUACACUGAAUGAGCAUGUAGAAGCACAUGAGCUCCCGUGAGCUUGUACGUGAGCACUUGUAGGUGUGUGUGUGUGAGCAUGUGUGAGUGUGUGAGAAUGUUUGUACACUGUGUGGGUGUGAGUGAACAUGUACAAGCACAUGAGCUCCUGUGAGCUUGUAUGAGAGCACUCAUAGGGGUGUGUGAGCUGUGUGAGUGUGCAAGGAUGUUUGUACACUGAGUGGCAAUGUGUAAGCACAUGAGCUCCUGUGAGCUUGUAAGUGAGCACUCAUAGGUGUGUGUGAGUGUGCGCGCAGGCCCAAGUGUGGAGGAAGGGGCCUCCCUCCCUGCCCCUCCCCAGGUCCGGUCUCGGCUCAGGAGCGAGUGUGAGCGGGCCUGAGGUCAGGCAGCCCCGCCCCGGCCCUCCGACCCGGCUGCUGCCCGGUGCUCUGCUCACCCCGCCUUCAUAGCCUCGGCUCGGAAACCAGCAGCAGGAAGCGAACCACCCAGGGCUCCUGGGCCCUGUUGUGCCCGACGGGCGUGGGGGGCUCAGCGACCCUGGAUUCUUCACCCCAUGGGCACACGUUUCCUCGGUAGUGCUGUGCACGUGGCACACGCAGCAUGCGUCCUGUGCAGGGGUGGAACCCCGGCAGGCUCCUCAGAGGGGAGCCGUGGGUGUGAGUGGCGG